AUGGUGCGCGAGCCGAGCAGUUCAACGGUGGCAGGAGCACAGGGCAGCGGCAGCAGCAUGGAGGGCGUCCUCUUGGUUGGGAAGGUAAUGGAAAUGCAAAUAGGAGUGGUAGUGGCAACCAUGAUGCAAAUGCAAGUGAUUCCCAAAGAUCUUGGAAAGGAAUUAAAGAUAAUAACUUGUAUGAUCCUUGGAACCAUGCAUGGCCGUAUUAUGGGGGGUUUUGAUUGUGUGUACUACAGCCUAAAGCACAAAGGUGGAGGUGCAACCCGUGUCACGGAGCACCUUGGUGGUAUUGUAGACUUUAUCUAUAGAGAGAUUGAGAAGGUUGUAGAAGAGAUAGGCCAUGAACAUAUUGUUCAAAUAGUAACCGAUAAUGGGUCCAACUAUAAGAAAGCUUGCAAAACCCUUAUAGAAGAACCAAAAUACUCUCAUAUUGUUUGGCAACCGUGUGCUGCCCAGACCAUCAAUCUUAUGUUAAAAGAUAUAGCCAAAUUUCCCGAGGUUGAUGUGAUAGUCAAGAGUGCCAAGACAAUCUGUAGGUUCUUGCAUAAGCACAAUAACCUACAUGAUAACAUGAAGAAGAACAUACGUGGUGAACUAAUUAGACCAAAUGCCACCCGUUUUGGGACUGUCUUCAUGUUCCUUGAGAGUUACCAUUUGAAGAAAGAUAAAUUUAGGGAGUGGAUGGUUUCGACUGAUUGGAAGGAGUGUCAGUGGAGGUAUGAGCCUGGAUAUGUGUUUGCUGAAGAAUGUUUGUCUAGUAAUGUUUGGUCGAACACACUAGAGUGGGUAUUGGGUUUGUUGAGGCCACUUUAUAAGGCCAUGAGGUAUGCUGAUGCACAGAAACAAUGCACUCUUUCUGGAUUCAAGAAAAGUAUGAUGCUUGCAAUACAAUGGAUGGAAGCACAUCUAGGCCCUACAUCAAGGUUGUACCUUAGUUUCAUGCGCAAGGUGGGCAAGAGGAUAGAUGCAAUGGAAGAAGAUACAUUUAUGGUUGCAGCUGCCGUCCUUGAUCCAUAUACAAAUUACCAGCUCAACCUUUUCAACCAUACAGAUUAUGCUACCUCACUAACAGAUGCGAUAGCGAAGAUAUUAGAUCCAAAGAGUGCUCUUUUAGCCAUUGAUGAAGUAAGUAAGUUUAGGGAGUGCCAAGGCAGGUUUGGGACCAGAUUAGCAGAAGAAGCUACGGCGAGAAUGGAGCAAACCCAAUGGUGGUUUCAAUUUGGAGGGGAUGUUCCUGCAUUGCAGAAGUGUGCAAAGAGAAUUUUCUCACAAUCUGUCUCAUCGAGUGGGUGUGAGAGGAAUUGGAGCGCUUUUGUUUUGGUGCACACAAAGCCAAGAAAUCGUCUUUUAUAUGACAAGCUCCACAAGCUAGUUUCUGUCCGCUACAACCUAAAGGAUCCAAUUGUUGAUGGAGCUGAUGCAGCCAGUGCUGUUUUUGAGAAAAUAAGGCGUCUCAACUCAAGCAGGAAGGAUUCUUAUGUUGGUACAAAGGGUAAUAAGAAGAAAAGAAAGAUGAAUCAUGAUGAGGAGAAUGAGUAUGCCGAAACUGAGAGUGAGGAUGAAGAUGAAGAGAAUGAGUAUGUUGAUAAUGUGAGUGAGGAUGAUGAUGGGGUGAGUGAGGAUGACGAGGAUAAUCAACAAGAUCAGCAAGAGACACACAUGCAAGUGGAAGAAGAGACACAAGUACAAGCUGAAAAGGAGACAACAGCAAGUGUUGGCAAUUUGGAGACUCGUAGAUCUGGACGACUAGUUAGGAAGAAGACCAAGGAAGUGAACAACCUCUACUUGUAG
rnacentral:rRNA from 1 species